GCUGUUGUGUAGGACAGUAGCAGUUCUGCCUUCUAAACUAUUUCUAUUCAUUUCUUUUAGCAGAUCAACAUAAUAUGGUCAAACAGUGAGAAAACUACAACUUCCAGUCAGCAGUCAUAAUAAGGUCAGUAACCACUGAUAUUAACACCUGUCAAAUUUUAGAAUCGCAGCACUUUAAGUUUUUCCUUAAAGGGAUAGUUCACCUAUUUUGAAAAAUGUGAUAUAAUUGCACUUCCCUUCAGAAAAUUGUCCCGCCACAAAUACAAAGAUUCCUGAAUGCCAACAAGAUCCAUGAUCUGCUUCAAUCAGGGUUCAAAGCCCUCCACAGCACUGACACAUGAGAUCUACUAGAUCCUAGUGCCGCCUUCAAUCCUGUGAAU